rnacentral:rRNA from 1 species
GAUGAACGCUGGCGGCGUGCCUAAUACAUGCCAGUCGAGCGAACGGACGAGAAGCUUGCUUUUCUGAUGUUAGCGGCGGACGGGUGAGUAACACGUGGAUAACCUACCUAUAAGACUGGGAUAACUUCGGGAAACCGGAGCUAAUACCGGAUAAUAUUUUGAACCGCAUGGUUCAAAAGUGAAAGACGGUCUUGCUGUCACUUAUAGAUGGAUCCGCGCUGCAUUAGCUAGUUGGUAAGGUAACGGCUUACCAAGGCAACGAUGCAUAGCCGACCUGAGAGGGGGAUCGGGCACAAUGGAACUGGGACACGGUCCAGACUCCUAAGGGAGGCAGGAGGAGGGAAACUUCCGCAAAGGGCGAAAGCCUGACGGAGCAACGCCGCGUGAGUGAUGAAGGUCUUCGGAUCGUAAAACUCUGUUAUUAGGGAAGAACAUAUGUGUAAGUAACUGUGCACAUCUUGACGGUACCUAAUCAGAAAGCCACGGCUAACUACGUG